rnacentral:rRNA from 1 species
AUUGAACGCUGGCGGCAGGCCUAACACAUGCAAGUCGAGCGAGCGGCGGACGGGUGAGUCAUGUCUGGGAAACUGCCUGAUGGAGGGGGAUUACUACUGGAAACGGUAGCUAAUAUCGCAUACCAUCAGCUGUUCCCAGAUGGGAUUAGCUAGUGGGUGGGGUAACGGCUCACCUAGGCGACGAUCCCUAGCUGGUCUGAGAGGAUGACCAGCCACACUGAAACUGAGACACGGUCCAGACUCCUACGGGAGGGGGCAGUAGGGAAUAUUGAACAAGGGGCGGAAGACUGAUACAGCCAUGCCGCGAGUGUGAAGAAGGACUUCGGGGUGUAAAGCACAUUCAGCGGGGAGGUGGUACCAGCAGAAGAAGCACCGGCUAACUCCGUGCCAGCCGCCGCGGUAAUUC